UGUUGAACUGUGUUGAAGUCAAUGAAACACUUUUAUGGUUUGGCUGCAGGCUUUGCUGAAUGACACUGCUUGUCCAUGAAAAUGCUCUGAACCUCAAGCACCAAGCUGCGUUUGUGCACCAGGAGCUCCAGACUUGGAAGCCAGCAAGCAAGAAGACCUAGAAGACUUAGAGAAAGAUAAAGCACCUCCAUGUAGCUUUUACCUGCUAAUAGCAUUUCUAUCACUGCAAGAUCUGGCAAGAGAGUCAAACAUUUUCCUAAAGGUUCUAGCCCAGCUCACCAGGGACACGGUCUUUAUGCAGUGUUUCCUGAUAUCUUCUUAGAUCCCAAGCAUGGAACAAAAGCCCACAAGAAAGUUAGAGACCAGAUGCAAUUAGA